UCCCAGCACCAAGCAACACUUUUCUUUUUCCUGACUGAGUCUGAUGUGCUGUUGAAGCUUUUGAUGGACUCUGUCUAACAAAACUGAUUUUCAUUUCCAGUGAGGGAUUCUCAGCUCCUCCCAGAACUGGAUGAGAACAAGGCUGAACAGCUUGGUAGGUAGCAAAGAGGAAUGCAUGCCAUCUGCCAGGUAGAUUUCCCUGCAAUCUGCCUUCAGAAGCAGUAUAAGCAACACCAAAACACGAAUGGCCACCUGAUGCAUGUUGUAGUACACUGAAAUGAUAAGGCUUG